GACAGACCGAGCGGUGCGGGAAGAGAUUUGGGAUGGAUGAGGGCUGAGAGAUUUACACCCUGGUCUCCUGGGUGAUUCCUGACUUCUGCAAAUCAAGAGGUAUCAGCGCCCCCUCAGUGCAGUACUACCUCGUCUGGCAGAUUUUACUGAGGAUGCCAAGUACAAUGUCUGGGUGUGGAUGGACUCCCCUGUCCCCCAGCUCUCGGCGCCACAGUAUCUGACAUCUGGCACAGCUGGAGCACUUCAACAUGAAAGAUCAAACACUUCAAAGAGUCUCAGAGUGGUUUUGGAAAGGGAAAAGCCAUUUGUUCUCAC